GUGCUCGCUUCAGCAGCACAUAUAUACUAAAAUUGGAAUGAUACAGAGAAGAUUAGCAUGGCCCCUAUGCAAAGGUGACAUGCAAAUUCGUGAAGCAUUCCAUAUUUUU
rnacentral:snRNA from 1 species